rnacentral:rRNA from 1 species
AUUGAACGCUGGCGGAAUGCUUUACACAUGCAAGUCGAACGGCAGCACGGGGCAACCUGGUGGCGAGUGGCGAACGGGUGAGUAAUACAUCGGAACGUGCCCAAUCGUGGGGGAUAACGUAGCGAAAGUUACGCUAAUACCGCAUACGAUCUACGGAUGAAAGCGGGGGAUCGCAAGACCUCGCGCGAAUGGAGCGGCCGAUGUCAGAUUAGGUAGUUGGUGGGGUAAAGGCUCACCAAGCCAACGAUCUGUAGCUGGUCUGAGAGGACGACCAGCCACACUGGAACUGAGACACGGUCCAGACUCCUACGGGAGGCAGCAGUGGGGAAUUUUGGACAAUGGGCGCAAGCCUGAUCCAGCCAUUCCGCGUGCAGGAUGAAGGUCUUCGGAUUGUAAAGUGCUUUCAGUAGGGAAGAAAAAAAUAGACGGUACCUACAGAAGAAGACGACGGCUAAAUAAUGUGCCAGCAGCCGCGGUAAU